GAAACUGAUCUCUCCGUGAAGAAGCGGAGAUUUUUUUAUAAGACGAGAAGACCCCAUGGAGCUUUAAACCCAAUUACACUCCUAUUUUUUAUUAACCUCUUAGACUAUGGAUAUUUGUAUAUUUGGUUUUAGGUUGGGGUGACCACGGAGCAUAACUUAGCCUCCAUGAUGAACGGGAUUUUACCCCUUAUCCAAGAACUACACCUCUAAGAACUAGUAUUCUAACAUAAAAUGAUCCGAUAAUCGAUCAACGAACCAAGUUACCCUGGGGAUAACAGCGCAAUCCACUUCAAGAGCUCCUAUCGACAAGUGGGUUUACGACCUCGAUGUUGGAUCAGGGUAUCCUAGUGGUGCAGCAAUUACUAAAGGUUCGUUUGUUCAACGAUUAAAACCCU
rnacentral:rRNA from 1 species